CAGCCCUGGCUGGGCUCUACAUUCUGGGACCCUCCAGCAGUUAGGAGCAGGACAAUACGAAGUCCACAGUUCCACGUUCCUGUGGCAUGGUGUGCUGAGCACAGACCCGCCGAGUUUUCCAUUUUGUAACCUUGCCACUGAAUGCUAUCAGGGGCCAUCUGCUGAUGAUCUAAGUAUCUGAGUGUGCACAACACGGCAGCAGAAUGGCAGCAGUAUUGCAAGCUCUAUAACCCUAACUGCACCUCAGCGCUCCACCAGUUCUAAGUUUUCUUUCAUCCCAUAAUUUCCUCUCUCCUCAAAAAUUAGAUAAAUAGUUCUUCUUCUGCUCGAGCAUCAACAUUCAGAUGGUAUUAAAGAACAGCAAAACGUGAGACAGUGAAGUGCUGCUUUGUGUUACAGUCUUGUCUAGGUAACCAGCCAGAGCUGACUCAUUUUUGAAUGUUUAUUGGCAGUGCUUGAAACAGUUGCCUUUGAGAUCUCCAGUGAUUCCCUCUUCCCCUCUCUUCUCCUCAUAACCCAAAUGGAAGUAAUGAAAAGGCUAUUAGGUUAUCAGUAAAACGCUAUCUUUUGUCAAACUUUCACUGUGGGGCUCGAGGCAUAUUGAGAGCAUAACGUGAGAACGCGAUGGCUCUUGGGCCCUGCAAAGCAGACGGUUCUGUGCAGAGCAGUGAGGACAACUCCUGCAACAACAUGUAUGUGAGCAAUGAAUUUAAGGUAAUGCAUGCAAAGUAAAAUGCACUGUAAGUUAUCAAUCUGUUCUGCAACUUUUUCUAUAACUUAUGCUCUGUAAAACUCUUCUUUCAGUAGCAGAAUAGCCAGAGGUCCUGCUGGUCACAUCACGAAUAGGGCUGGAUCCAGAUCCCUCAAUAUCAGAGCUGCAGUGUGCUCACAGAUGCACGAGGCACUGAGCAGUGUGCUUUUGUGUAAAUGAAUAUUUGAUCUCAGAAAACUUCUACAAACAAGCAGGAGGACAAAAGGACUGUGUUAAACCUAGCUGGCAUUUCCCAUACCAUGCCCUCUGCACAGAAGUACCCGUCUAAUUCCAAGCACAGAAUUCAACAAAAGUAAAUGUCUGGGCUGAAACACUAUCUGCACAUUUAAUUCUCUACAGCAACAUCACACUGGCACUAAGUAAAAUUUCCCCCAUUUCCCCUACCACAUGUCAGUCAAGGGUUAGAUAAAAGAGCAAUGAGGUCCCUUAUUUCUGCUUAGGACACCAACUGAACACCUGCAGCUGCACUUUCAAAAUAAAUUUAUUUCAGAGGAUUGCAGUAGCACUUUGUACGUACUGGUCACAAAAUUAUAAAUCUUGUGUGAGCCUUGAUUUCUUGUUCAUACAUAUUUGCAAAUAUUCUGGCAACUGUAACCUGUGGGUAGGAAACUGGGAUCUGGAGAUCCUCUGUGGUUUUCAGGUCUGGUACAAAUUAAUCACCUUUUCCAUGAGCUUCCUUCCCAGCUUGACAAUUCAGUAAACAGAACACCUCCAGCUAGGGAUGCCCAAAUGUGCUUCUUUUGACAGCCGUUUUCAUUUUAAUUCGCAUAGUGAGCACUUUAUCAGUCUACAAAGUAAGAAACUAGCCGGGGAAAAUUAUGAAAGCCUACAUUGUGAAAAGAAGUGAAUCUGUCCUUUAAUUCACACGGCAAGGAAGAGUUCCUUGUAGGGACACCUCACCAGAAAGUCCCAACACAAAGUCUGAGAGACUUUCUCAGCCUCAGAGGUAACACUGUUACCUGAUUCCUGUUUUCUACCAAGCUAAGCACUACUUGAGGCAAAGCCCCCUGAACAUCUGCAGUUGAGCUCCAGGGGAAAAAAAAAUAAAAGAUGAAAUCUGUGAAUAAUUAGCAACUUAGAAAUCCCUGACUAAAUGUCAAGCAAAAGCAAGCACACUUCAAGAGUUCUGUUGUGCUCAGAGUAUGGUACGUGUGAGAAGAUGGGACUAAGGAUCACACCGUGCAUGCUGCUUGCCAAAGCACGGCCUUCAGCGUUGGAAAGAGAAGGGAUGUCAUCCCAAGGCAGCAAAUGUAGCUUUUCUCUGAAAAGCAUUUGUUGGCGUGUAAGGGAGGGAAGCUUUCAUUCGUUGAAACGAGUAACUUCCGAUUCCUGCCCUGAGUUGCGCUUGGCAUUCGGUGGUACGACUCAGAUGAAGGAAAGUCCUGUGAAAGACAAAGGCAGGCGCCUGCUCUGCAAGCGAGCUCACGCGAGGAGACCCUCAGACCCGAUUCUCCUGCCCGUAAUUUGUAUUUGCCCCUGUGCUCACUCUAGGACCUCUCCUUUCUGGGAGCUGUUACAGGGGGGCGUUCGCCUGUCGGAAAGCCGCAGUCCGGGUCCCGCCGCCCUGGGAGCUCCCGGAGGCUGGAAGCACCGACCCCGGUCCUCGGCGCCGGGGGAGCCCGGGACCGUCCCGCACCGCCCUCCCCACGCCCUCUCUCGCCCGACGGCUCGAUCUCGGAGCCAGCAGGAAGUUUCGCUUCAACAGCCUCGUCUCCAAAUGUUUUUCUUUGCCAUCUCAAUUGUUUCAGCGCUCUUUCCCUCCAGCCUCCGCCCGCGGCGGCCGCUGCCAACUCGUGCGCAGAGCGCGGCGCGACCCGCGGGGCCGGGGCAGCCCGACGGCGAAGAACGGAGCGCAGCCGCGGAGCCCCGCGCUCCCCUCCGGCCGGUCACUGCGCGCCUGCGGCGCGGAGCGGCGGCUCGGCGGACCGAACCCGUCCUCCGUCGGACGUUCCGCAGAGGCCGGGGUGGGGAAGGGACGACGCGGCCGCCCCUCCGCGGCCCGGCAAAAGGCGCCCGGCGGAAAAAAAAAAAAGCGCUUUGUCCUCACCGGCGGUGACUGAAGCUGCUGCGCGAGACGCUGCGGCGGCCCCCCGCCGCCCCCCGAUUCCAUCUGACGGCUCAGGUCUGCUGCCACAGAGCAGUGUUUAUUCAGCGCGUAAACAAAAGUGAAAGGAAUUAAGCGGGCAGAUCCGACAGCCCAGGGAAACGUUUCGGGCCCUUCAGCGUGGAGUUACCGCGCUCUUAGAGAAGAGGACGUACCUCCAACGGAAAGCAGGCAGUAAGUUUUGUAGCCGUGUAUUUCUGAACAUAGUCGAUGCUUUCCGUGUUGGUUCUGCUAAGGGCAAAAUGCUCUUUCAUAACAUUCGACUGCUGCUUUAUUUUCGUCUGUCCACAACACUUUCUCUGUCUGCAUGACAGUAUGGUACAACUAGCACAGAUGUUUACAAACUCGAAAAGUCAACUUCUAUGUAAAGUUUUCACCAAAGCGUCAGGAACACGUAGACACAGCACUCCACUCGAACAUGCACAAGUUUCACAUACCUGUUCACGGUGCAGGGACCAAGAAGUGCAACAAAGAGUAAAAAGGGCAAAAUUACUGCCCUUAUUCUCUAGGGCGCUGAAAUGACUUUGCACUUCCUCCUGCAGUGCAAGGGCGACUGCCCUUAAAAAAUGCAGGCCUGUACCCCACUAACACCCUACUUGUCCUUUGCCUCCUCUGCCCUUACACCUCCUGCAAAGUAAAGAAUAAAAACGUACAUUGUGUGAGGUUCUGAACUUUGGUGAGGGAGCCACUGUCUCACACAUUCAAGUCGGACACAGAAACUUUUCCCUCAGACCCAUCUGGCCAUUCCCAACCAAGAGACACAGAGCUCCACGCUGGAAUAGUCAUGAGCAGAAGAUACAGAAAAUGCUGGACGCAAGAGCUGGAGACAAACGGCCCUGCCCAAGGAAAGUGUGUUACACGGGUAUGGAAAACAAGUUACGGGUAAGAGACUGACUCGAUUGGUUUACUUCUUGCUAACCCAGUCCAGAAACAGAAAUUCAGGAGUAGACCAAACUCUGCAGCUUUCACCAGAGGCUGGAGCCAGGGGGAGUGAGAACUCACAAAGAGAAAGCCCAAGUGUGCUGGCUUCACUUCGUUGCCUGACUUCCGCCACAGAGCCGCCGCCAAUCCAUCCCCUCCACCCCCAUCCCCCCGAGAUCAGGAUGCUGAGACCUAGAGAUGAAAAGCCUCCAGAUACCCAUAGGUGGGCAAAUGUUAAAGCAUGAGAAAGAGAAUGCCUGAGACAGAAAAGGCAAUGUGCAUGGAAGUCAAUUUUGUCCCCACAGUUAUCAGCUCCGCAUUUUAACCCAUCUCUCCUUUCCAGACAGCUUGCUGGCCAAGAAAGGGACCGCGUGGACCUGGGCUGCACAGAGAGCGGACCGCACGGAGUCACGGCAGCGUCUGCUGGCGGUCCUCGCCUUGCCCUCGGGGGGCGCGGGGACCCCCGCGGGACAUAAACGAGCGGGGAGGUGAGGGUGCGAGACCGGGCUGCGCAGAGGAAAGCUCAUUUCCAUCCCGCAGGGCGGACCGCGUUCCCCUCGGCAGCGAUGUGAAACACCGCGAGCGGAGCGCCGCUCGCCUCCGCAGCCCCGCGCUCAGUCCAAACCCGCCGCACCUCCCCGGGUCCGGCUGUGGCGGAGGCGCGGGUGGGUCAGAGCCUUCAGCCGUUGUUCCGGGGACACCCAGAGCGGUGGGCGACGACAGCGGGCCGAGCCCGGCAGGGCAAUCGGAAGCGGCAGCUCAGAUUGUCCACAGUUUGGUGUCGGUGUCAGCUUUUUGCAAACAGACCGCGGUGCCACGUUUAAUUUCUCAGCAGACCGUUCGUUUUCGCUGUGAAUACGUUUUGCUGGAGCUCCCUUCAGAAACAGGCGUCCCGCCGCGCGCAGUGCUCCGCGGUACUUUUUUUGCUCGAGAAGCCCAAUGCCAACACCCUCUCGUUACAACUCUUGCUGUCCGCGCUCAGCCCCGUGCCCUGCCGUCACAUAUUUAAAAGAUCUCACCUGCGCGCAGAUGAUUAGCAUUUCCUCCAUCUGUCCUUGCAUUACUUCUCAGAGGAACAGACGAGGUCCCCCAUCGGAGGGUCCUCCGCGCUCCCACCCGGGUUCUCCGCAGCGCUCUCAGUCCCGACGGGACGAGGCCGAGCACGGGCCCUCCCAGACCGCCCCCGGCAGCUCCGCUCCCCUCGGCCCGCUGCUCCCUGACACUAAGUUCUGUGCGGCCGCCUGCUUUCACCUCCUCAAAAACGAUGCUACGCUAGCGCACACAUCUUAUGAAUUACUGCUGCGCGUUUUGCUAUCGCUGCGGGGAACAACGCGCGAAAGGAUUUUGUUGGCUCCUGACGCUGUGUUUAUCAGAGAUUAAAGGCGCUGAGGGCAGAGGCUCAGAGCGAGGUUCCCGGAGCAGCCUCGUGGCGCUCCGCCGCCCUUCGCGGAGCUGGUAUGCGG